rnacentral:lncRNA from 1 species
CAAGAGCAAAACUCCAUCUCAAAAACAAAACAAAACAAAACAAAUCUUGUACCGUGUCCGCAUCCACAUGUUUUAGGGGAGGAAACCAGAGCUACAAGGCAAUUUAUUUCAACAGAGAAAUUCCCCCCUCUUCUUUGCUAAUGGCUACAGAUAAAGCUACAGACCCAGCGUCAUCAACAAAAGUAGCAAUUGACAUUUGUUGAGCACAGAGAAUGCAGCAGGGCUGAGCUGCAAGCUUUUAUCUGCAUCACCUCACUGCGUCCUCAAUGCCACCAUCUAAGGAAGAUGCAGGUAUUGUUGCAGUGUUCCUGUUACAGAGAGCCACGGAGGUCAGGCCAGUAGCUGCCUGAUGUCACAGAGCAAGCUGGAGGCAGGAUGGCAUCAGCAUUCCAAUCUGCCCUUUCCAGAGCCCUAGAGAGCAGGGUGCUCCUUCAGACCCCAGGCCUUGUCUCUAGCCCUUCCUAAGUCAUCUCACUUCUCCCUACUUCUCACCUUCUGCCUUGGGUCCAACCUACUCCUAGGCUAUGAAGCCAUCCACCAGCCUUACCUAGGCACAGGCCAAUGCACUGCUGCCUGGGACAACAGGUCACUGCAGUAGUCCCUCAAUGACCAACAGCCGACCUUAAGUUCACCACCAGAUGCUUCAUGACAAACUCACAAAGGCAAUAGCCACAAAGGGCCAACAACUUUCCCUGGGCAUCUAUCCAAGCCUGUCUUCAUGGUCCCUUCCAACAGCUGGACGUAUUGGCUGCCAGAUGUCCCUGAAACCGCAGGCUGCCUUACCUAUGUCAGGUAAUUUGGCUUCCCUGAUUGACCCAUCACUGAGAUCAUCACUAGCAGAAGGGAUACUGUUCCAGAACUAGCAGCCUCCAUUUCCUCCUCCUUGGGAUGUGUGUUGUGAGAAGCUCAUGUCACAUAAAAGGCAACAUGUGGGCACCUAAGCAGAUAAUCCCCAACUGAACACCCACUCAACAACUAGUGCCAACUGCCAUCCAUGAGCAUGCACCAUCUUGGAUGUUCCAGCCCAGUCAAGCCCCAGAUGACUGCAGCUCCAGCCAACAACACACGGAACAGAAGAACCACCCAGCUGAGCCCAGCCAAUCCCUGAGCCCAGGGAAUUAUGAUGAUGAAACUAUACCCUAAAGAGUUAAUGAAACCAAUGACAGAAAUUACUGAGUUUGCAGGAUAACAGAUAAGAAAAAAAAACAACUUGCUGAGAUGCUGAAAUUCCCUCCUCUUCUGAGUAUUUUUUUUUUUUUAACUCACAAGUUUUUUAAAAAGUUGGCAGUGGGCUAAAAUUAAUUGGAACCAGGAUGACCAACUGGAGAUUGUGCACAAGUUUGCUGACAUCACAGCCCAAAUUUCCACCACAUAUUUCAUACUAACUUCUCCCAAAUUUGCAUAUGCAACCUAUGAAGUAACAUAAAGAAAUAAGUACACACACCCAAGGACUUUCCAGACUUCCCCUUUCCCUCCACCAACCACCUGCUAAUCCCAGUAUCUACCCCCUAAGCCUUUCCUAAUAAAAAUACUGCCUUGAAGCCAGCCCAGAGUGGCAGAUUUGAGCUUGACUCCUGUGUCCUUGGGAGUCAACUUUCAAUAAGAAGCUUUUCUUUUCUCAAAAACCUGGCCAGGCACAGUGGCUCAUGCCUGUAAUCC